rnacentral:lncRNA from 1 species
AUAUACAUAUAUGUACAUAUAUACACAUAUAUGUACAUACUGUGUUUCUGGAAGCACGGAACCUUCCGUGCUUCCAGGUCGUUUUUGAUGUUGCGACUUUUGAAUCGUCGAUCGGCUCCGUUAAAGUUGAUCUAGAAUAUUUGAAGUAUCUAGAAAAUAAAUUUUGUAAUUUUUCGAUAUCAUUUGCCUAGUGAUCGAAGGGGUUUAAAAUCAAUAAUUUUAAUGGCCGUAGUGAGCCGUUUGCAAGUUUAACGGUGUAAAAAUAUCUAAAUCACGUGAAAUUUUGAUAAAAAAUUCUUUAUACUAUAUAAAACAAGAUCAAUAUUUUUGAUCUAAAAUUUUAAUGUCAUAUUAUCAUGUUUUGUAAGAUUUUUAUUUUUAGCCGUUGAUUUUGAACCCCUUCGUUCACUAGGUAAAUAAUAUUGAAAAAUCGCAUAAUUUAUUUUCUAGGUACUUCAAAUACUCUAUAUCAACUUUAACGGAGCCAAUCGACGAUUCAAAAGUGGCAAUAUGGAAAACAACCUGGAAGCACGGAAUGCUCCGUGCUUCCCGAAGCAUAGUAGCCUCACUAAGCACCAAGCACUUGGUGCUUGUAAAUUUUUUACCGUUAUAUCUAUCUUUUUGAUCAUUUUCACCUGUUAGAUCAUUACUAUUCAACCAACCACCCACUCAACCCUGGGGGUCCUACAUCAUCCUAACCGUACAUCCUUUAAUCCAAUGGUCAAAAAUCUACGAGCACCAAUUACUUGGUACUUUUAAAAAUAUAGGAGCUCAAUAUAUA